rnacentral:lncRNA from 1 species
CUCAACAUAAACGUCGUAGGAGGAUUGGGACGACUGAGGAGGAUUGUCGUUGAUGUCGGACACUUGGACCUUCACUGUUGUAAGAGCUGAGAGAGAGGGGAUUCCCGAGUCUCGAGCUGUGAUGCUGAGAUUGUAUUCUGGCAUGGUCUCACGAUCCAGGGCUGCACUGGUUUUCAAAGUGAAGUAAUUCUUGAGGGAAGAAGUCAGGCUAAAGGGGAGACCGGGUGGAACCUCGCAGGUCACCAACCCGUUCUCUCCAGCAUCCAGAUCAGUCACACUGAGCAAAGCAAUGACAGUCCCCAGAGGAGCAUCCUCAGGGACAGGGCUGUAUACAGAGGUGACUGUGAUUUCCGGGGCAUUGUCAUUUACGUCUACAACCUCUACAAGUACUUUGCAAUGCGCUCCUUCGGGAUUGGCACCUUUGUCUUUGGCCUGGAUGUAAAUCUCAUGGAGUUUGGUGUCUUCGAAGUCCAGGCGACCCUUGAUUGUCAGCACCCCGGUUACGAGGUCUAAAGCGAAUAGUUCCCGCACCCCAGCACGAUUGUGGCUGCCGAAGGAGUAAACGAUUUCUCCGUUGAGGCCCUCAUCCAGGUCAGUUGCAAGAACCUGGGCGACGCGCGUGCCUGGGGGUGCAUCCUCCCGGACGCGCGCCCGAUACAAAGACUGAUUGAAGGCAGGCGCAUUGUCAUUCGCGUCCAGCACUGUGAUACGAAUUGGAAGGGUGGCGGAGCGAGCUGGGGUUCCUCCAUCCAGCGCGGUCAGUACCAACUGGACACUUGGCUCCCGUUCCCAAUCUAGGGCGCGCUCCAGGACCAGCUCCGCAUAUUUCGUGCCGUCUUCUCGAGUCUGCACGCGGAGCGCAAAGUACUCAUUGUGGCUCAGCUCAUAGGUUUGUAAAGAGUUGCUCCCCACAUCGGGAUCGUGCGCGCUCUCGAGCGGAAAGCGCGUCCCCGGCGCCAAGGCCUCGCUAAUCUCCAAUUUCAUUUCCCCGGUGGGGAAAGAGGGAUUGUUGUCGUUGAUGUCCUGGACCACCACUUCCGCGCUGAACAGCUCCAGCGGGUUCUCUACCACCAACUCCAGAGUUACAGUGCAGGAGGGCAGCGUCCCGCACAGCUCCUCUCGGUCCAGUCGAUCGUUGACGAACAUCUCUCCAGUCUCCCAGUUCACCUCAAAGAACCUACGGCUAGCUCCGGACACCACCCGGAGCCGGCGGGCCGACAGACUGCCGAGAUCCAAACCAAGAUCCGUGACCACGUUACCCACGGGGAACCCCCUCUCUCUCUCCUCCAGGAUCUCAUAGUGAAUGAUGGUGGAAGCCUCGGUUAAGGCAGCUAGCAGAAGCAAAACUCCCACCGUUCUCCAGGGGCUUACCAGUCCGCUGCUCCGGGCCUCUGCGACCAUCUCACUCAAAAGCAGCUCCUCUUGCCGGGGUCCAGGUGGUCCCGGAGGUCUGGCAGAGAAACUUUCAGCGGGUUAGCGCUUGGGCGCUGGGCGCCGAGUCCGACAUGGCUUUCUGGGCGCCGCUGAUUUGUUCGCCCGCUGUUCAGUCUCUGCCUCAUCCCGGGGCGCCGAAAGGGGACGGGCCCGGGCCAGAUCUCCAGCAUCUUCAUUGGCCGACAGCGGCACACAGAGUCCCAGCCAAUAACUGCACGAAGAAUGCGCUAGCGCCGGGUUCUUUGAGCAGGACACGCGCUCGCGCCAGGAACUUCACUUUGCUCUGGCUGCUUUCCAGAGUUUCCUGUCCAGCGCUCAGCCAGCGCCAGGGGAGCAAACUCAAUCUGCGGGCGGAUCUGCCCACCUCCCGCCCCAGCCAGGCCCAUUAAACACUUUAAUCGUUAUCUUUGAUCGCAAGAAAGGGGAACGAUCCAAGCCGAAUACAACACAGCGUCGACUGGCAAAACGAGAGCAAAUUGGGUCUGUUGGAGGGCAGAGGAAGCGGCGGACUCUGCGGGGAAGGAGGAAUGAGUAUUUCUGGGGAGAUUUAUAUUAUCACUUUUAUGGGCCGUGCGAUAUAUGUAGCUUACAGGUAGAUUCUGACUUUGAGUGUAUGAUGGUUUAUUCUCCAGCAUACGUCCGUCCCCUCCCCCAAACCCCACAGUUUUAUCUUUUUCCAAAUGGAGGCUAGAAUUCAUUACUUUCUCAGUAGAACAAAUCAAGAGUACUGCUAUCUGUUUGUCUUAACUCUGUUUUGAGAUUUUAAAAAUAAAAUUAAGAAAUUAAAUCCUUCAAAA